UCCCGUUUAGCUCAGUUGGUAGAGCGCGUCACUAGUAUUGUAGCACGCAGUGAUUACUUAUGACGAGGUCAGUCGUUCGAGUCGGCUAAUGGGAA